GAAGAAGACAUCAGUCUGAAGUGGCUAGAUCAAUGCUAGCCAGGUAACACUAAUGGUUGUUCUUUCUGUUGGACAUUUCCUCCCAUUAAUGACUCGACAUGGGCAAGAGAGACAAUCGAGUGGCUUACAUUAACCCCAUAGCUGCUGCACGAGCCAGAGGACCGGUACAGAACUCUGGACCGACCAUACAGGAUUAUUUAAGCAGACCUCGACCAACAUGGGAAGAGCUAAAGGAGCAGCUGGAGAAGAAGAAAAAAGGCU